rnacentral:misc_RNA from 1 species
GAUGAAGAACGUAGCGAAACGCGAUAUGUAAUGUGAAUUGCAGAAUUCAGUGAAUCAUCGAAUCUUUGAACGCACAUUGCGCCCGCCAGUAUUCUGGCGGGCAUGCCUGUCUGAGCGUCAUUUCAACCCUCAUGCCCCUAGGGCGUGGUGUUGGGGAUCGGCCAAAGCCCGCGAGGGACGGCCGGCCCCUAAAUCUAGUGGCGGACCCGUCGUGGCCUCCUCUGCGAAGUAGUGAUAUUCCGCAUCGGAGAGCGACGAGCCCCUGCCGUUAAACCCCCAACUUUCCAAGGUUGACCUCAGAUCAGGUAGGAAUACCCGCUGAACUUAAGCAUAUCAAUAAGCGGAGGA